UAGCAACUUCAGUUACGGUUUGGAGAGGCAAGGCUGGGGCUGGAGAGAAGGGUGGGAGGUCUGCCCACUGCCCUCAGAAGAACUCACUCCACCCUCCAGCCUCCACAAUAAGCUGGAUUCUCCCGUGCCCAGGGCCAACAGAGGCCUGCGGUUGCAGAGAGCAGGAGUGCACUCAGCCUGGCUCAGGGUGUCACCAUGAUUGGAGCAACUGGAACAGGAGGGGUUUUUCACAGGGAGCACAGGGAUGAAUACACGGGAAGAAACAAUCAUCAGGAGAAGCAACAUACCAGAGUUCCUCAUUGCCGGUAUAAAGAGCAAGCACAGACAAAGAUGGAAUCGAAAGGAGCACUAUAGAACCUGCAGUUGGAGCCAAUUUCCCUCUUUCCCAGCCUUACGAGAGAUGAAGAACAGCUGCUUGCUGCCAUGUAUUAACUAAUUCUACCUAUUCUUUAAGACCAUUGUUAUAGAAGCUUAACUCCAAUUUUACAAGUCCUCUGGUUUUGCAAUGACUAUCGCAUUAUUUGCAUAUCUUUAGAGAAUUAAAUUUGAAUGACUGUAAGUCAGCCAAAGUAUCCUAUCAAAGUAUUUUCCAAAAAGGCGAUGGAAGAAAAACGUCCUACUAAAAGGUUUGGAGUCAUUUCAUUCAGAACAUGUGACUAAGUUCAGAUUU